rnacentral:lncRNA from 1 species
GUAAUUAUGCGUGUGACAGAGGCUGCAUUGGCUCUCCCUGUGCCUAAGUGUGACCGGCAGCCACGUCAAUCAGACCAUGUGAGCUGCUGACAGUCCGUGUUUACCCAGUGGCAGAUGUGCCCUGACAAAGGAAUGAAAGGAAGGCUGGGGCUCUGGGGGCUCCGGGAGGGAGGAGACCAUGUUCCUUCAGCUGAUAGAAGACGCCCCUAAUUGGGAAAAAAAAAGAUCUCUACAAUGUCUCUGAAAAGUGGUCAUUGAGCUUCUGAGUGAAGAUUUCUCAUGAAGGAAAACUUGCUGCUUCUGUUUCCAUGCUUUCUCGGGCAUGGGCAAGCUCAGAAUCACAACCGGAAGAGGAAUGAAGAAUGACCAAAGUGAAGACUCCAUAAAGGAACUCACCAGUGGGAAAUGGGGCUGGAAUGGUCAGGAGGUAUUCCAGGGAACGCUGCCGCUGCUGCUUCCGACGGCCCCGUCAGCCUCCUUCUUGGGUGCUGUAUGGGAUCCAGAAGAGGUGGGGAAGGGAAGCAGCUCUGGUGAGUAA